rfam:Hespellia stercorisuis DSM 15480 genome assembly, contig: EJ65DRAFT_NODE_1_len_469_cov_56_782516.157
CAACGCAAGUUGGUCGCAGAGAAUUGGUCCAAGCAACUGUUUAGCAAAAACACAGCUCUAUGCAAAACCGAAAGGUGAAGUAUAUGGGGUGACGCCUGCCCGGUGCUGGAAGGUUAAGGGGAGAGGUUAGCGCAAGCGAAGCUUUGAACUUAAGCCCCAGUAAACGGCGGCCGUAACUAUAACGGUCCUAAGGUAGCGAAAUUCCUUGUCGGGUAAGUUCCGACCCGCACGAAAGGCGUAAUGAUUUGGACACUGUCUCAACAAUGCACCCGGUGAAAUUGAAAUACCAGUGAAGAUGCUGGUUACCUGCGCCAGGACGGAAAGACCCCAUGGAGCUUUACUCUAGCUUGAUACUGGGAUUCGAUAUUGCAUGUACAGGAUAGGUGGGAGACUAGGAAUCUAUGACGCCAGUCAUAGAGGAGUCGCUGUUGGGAUACCACCCUUGUAGUAUUGGAUUUCUAACCAUCAGCCGUGAUCCGGCUGGGGGACAAUGUCAGGUGGGGAGUUUGACUGGGGCGGUCGCCUCCGAAA